rnacentral:misc_RNA from 1 species
GAUGAAGAACGCAGCGAAAUGCGAUAAGUAGUGUGAAUUGCAGAAUUCAGUGAAUCAUCGAAUCUUUGAACGCACAUUGCGCCCCUUGGUAUCCCGAGGGGCAUGCCUGUUCGAGCGUCAUUUCACCACUCAAGCCUGGCUUGGUGUUGGGCGACGUCCCCUUUGGGGACGCGCCUCGAAACGCUCGGCGGCGUGGCACCGGCUUUAAGCGUAGCAGAAUCUUUCGCUUUGGAAGUCGGGGCCCCGUCUGCCGGAACACCUACUCGCAAGGUUGACCUCGGAUCAGGCAGGGAUACCCGUUGAACUUAAGCAUAUCAAUAAGCGGAGGA